GUCGAACGCUGGCGGCGUGCUUAACACAUGCAAGUCGAACGCUGAAGCGCAGCUUUUGCUGGGUGGCUGCGUGGCGAACGGGUGUGAAACACGUGAGUCACCUUCCUCCUGCUUUGGGAUAACGCCCGGAGACGGGUGCUAAUACUGGAUAUUCACUGGUCUUCGCGGGGGGGCUGGUGACAAGGGGCUUUCUGGUGGGGGAUGGGCGCGCGGCCUAUCGGCUGGUUGGUGGGGUGAUGGGCGACCCAGGCUGUGACGGGUAGCCGGCCUGAGAGGGUGACUGGUCACAUUGGGACUGAGAUACGGCCCAGAGUAGUACGGGGGGCAGCAGUGUGGACUAUUGCCCAAUGGGCGAUAGCCUGAUGCAGCGUCGCUGCGUGAGGGCUGGGGGCCGUCGGGUUGUGAACCUCUUUAGCUAAUGGUGAAGCCGAAACAAUGGUUGUGGUGAGGUUAGUGGGUAAAGAAGCGCCGGCUAACUACGUG
rnacentral:rRNA from 1 species